rnacentral:rRNA from 1 species
UAUAUGUUGGUAGAGGAGCAUUGUUAGCGGAACGAAGCCAUACCGGAAGGAGUGGUGGACUGCUAAGAAGAGAGAAUGCCGGAAUGAGUAGCGAGAUUGAAGUGAGAAUCUUCAAGGCCGAAUAUCUAAGGUUUCCAGGGUAAAGCUGAUCUGCCCUGGGUAAGUCGGGGCCUAAGGCGAGGUCGGAAGACGUAGCCGAUGGACAACAGGUUGAAAUUCCUGUACUGCGAUAUAUCAGAAAUGUGGGGACACAGAAGGAAAGUGUGAGCCGGGAAAGGAAAGACCGGUGCAAGCACAGGAGGAGGGAUACAGGCAAAUCCGUAUCCCAAUCCAAUGGUGUUACGCGGAGCGAACAAAAGUAGCGAAGCACACAGACCAUCUGUCGAGAAAAGCCGCUAUUGUGUAUACCGUACCCGUACCGUAAACCGACACAGGUGGAUGAGGAGAGAAUCCUAAGGCCGGCGGGAGAAGCAUUGUUAAGGAACUCGGCAAAAUGACCCCGUAACUUCGGGAGAAGGGGUGCUCACGCAAGUGAGCCGCAGAGAACUGGCCCAAGCAACUGUUUAGCAAAAACACAGGUCUAUGCAAAACCGAAAGGUGAGGUAUAUGGGCUGACGCCUGCCCGGUGCUGGAAGGUUAAGAGGAGAUGUUAGAGCAAUCGAAGCAUUGAAUUUAAGCCCCAGUAAACGGCGGCCGUAACAAUAACGGUCCUAAGGUAGCGAAAUUCCUUGUCGGGUAAGUUCCGACCCGCACGAAAGGCGUAAUGAUUUGGGCACUGUCUCGACAAUGCACCCGGUGAAAUUGAAAUACCAGUGAAGAUGCUGGUUACCUGCGCCAGGACGGAAAGACCCCAUGGAGCUUUACUCUAGCUUGAUACUGGGAUUCGGUAUUGCAUGUACAGGAUAGGUGGGAGACUAAGAGGUGAUGACGCCAGUUGUCACGGAGUCGAUGUUGGGAUACCACCCCUGCAGUACUGGGUUUCUAACCUGCGGCCGUGACCCGGCCGGGGGACAAUGUCUGGUGGGGAGUUUGACUGGGGCGGUCGCCUCCGAAAGGGUAUCGGAGGCGCUCAAAGGUUCCCUCAGAAUGGUUGGAAACCAUUCGAAGAGUGCAAAGGCAGAAGGGAGCUUGACUGCGACACCGACGGGUGGAGCAGGUACGAAAGUAGGACUUAGUGAUCCGGUGGUAUGAAAGUGGGAUUGCCAUCGCUCAACGGAUAAAAGCUACCCUGGGGAUAACAGGCUUAUCACUCCCAAGAGUUCACAUCGACGGAGUGGUUUGGCACCUCGAUGUCGGCUCAUCGCAUCCUGGGGCUGUAGUAGGUCCCAAGGGUUGGGCUGUUCGCCCAUUAAAGCGGUACGCGAGCUGGGUUCAGAACGUCGUGAGACAGUUCGGUCCCUAUCCGGCGUGGGCGUAGGAUAUCUGAGAGGAGCUGUCCUUAGUACGAGAGGACCGGGAUGGACUGACCUCUGGUGCAUCGGUUGAGCCACCAGGCUCAUGGCCGAGUAGCCAAGUCGGGACGGGAUAAACGCUGAAGGCAUCUAAGCGUGAAGCCCCCCUCAAGAUGAGAUAUCCCAUAGAGUAAUCUAGUAAGACCCCUUGAAGACGACGAGGUAGAUAGGCAGAAGGUGGAAGUGUGGUGACAUAUGGAGCUGAUCUGUACUAAUAGGUCGAGGGCUUACC